UGUUCCAUGCUUGUGUCAAAAAACUGAAUUGAGGUGGUCGUUGCAUUUACAAAAAAACAUGUUUUAACAGAAUAAUUUUAUGUUUCAAAGGCAAAGGUUAUAAAAUUAGGUCAGAUAAACAGAUAAUUUAACAACCUAACGUUGAGACAAGACGAUUCAAUUUAGUCAGUGAUCUCCCGCCAAAGAGGGUCUAGCGAGAUCAGGAGAUCACGCGAGAUGCUAGCGAGAUUACAUUAAACUACAGAUGUUUGUGCAAAUCUAGGAACGUGCACUCUAAAAGGCAAUACCUAUUUUUAAAUUAUGUUUGUAGGCGUCGUCUUGAUGCAUAUUGACGCGCUUCACCCCGACCCCAAGACUAGAAAGUGGGACCUGUCAUGUUGCAUUCAAGGUUGAAGAGGAGUCACUGACAAUGCAUUUCAAAGAUUCUGGUCCAGUUUGACAGAAAGACCAAAGAUGUUGUUGCCAUAAGGACUGCUACCCUGGGAUGUCUCUCAGUUUUCCUCAACAACGAUGGAGGAGAGUUCUACAAUGUCUCUUGAUUCAGAUGCCAUGGCAGACUUCAUCAAGGUUCCUGUGGGGUUAUUGACUGAUAUGUUAUGCUAAGUAUAUCAUUUUGUUAAAAUAAAGCGUUGAAUCUUGUAAAUUUAAAAUCUGUGCCUGUGGUAGGCUGAACAAUUUUAAAUUUAUUGUUACUAAUUAAACACUGACAUAAAAGGUUUUGUUUAAACUAUUAAGUGAAACUAGCUUAAAUGGAUGUUCAAAUGGGUUGUCAUCUGGCAAGAGUUUAUACCCUUUGUAGUAAAGUGCCUGCACUGCACAUGGUAAAGAAAAUGGAUAACAACUUUGAAAAUACAGUUCUGCUGUACCCUU